rnacentral:rRNA from 1 species
UGAACUGGGUGANUAGAGUGUGUCAGAGGGAGGUAGAAUUCCACGUGUAGCAGUGAAAUGCGUAGAGAUGUGGAGGAAUACCGAUGGCGAAGNCAGCCUCCUGGGAUAACACUGACGUUCAUGCUCGAAAGCGUGGGUAGCAAACAGGAUUAGAUACCCUGGUAGUCCACGCCCUAAACGAUGUCAAUUAGCUGUUGGGCAACUUGAUUGCUUAGUAGCGUAGCUAACGCGUGAAAUUGACCGCCUGGGGAGUACGGUCGCAAGAUUAAAACUCAAAGGAAUUGACGGGGACCCGCGCAAGCGGUGGAUGAUGUGGAUUAAUUCGAUGCAACGCGAAGAACCUUACCUGGUCUUGACAUGUACGGAAUCCUCCAGAGACGGAGGAGUGCCUUCGGGAACCGUAACACAGGUGCUGCAUGGCUGUCGUCAGCUCGUGUCGUGAGAUGUUGGGUUAAGUCCCGCAACGAGCGCAACCCUUGUCAUUAGUUGCCAUCAUUAAGUUGGGCACUCUAAUGAGACUGCCGGUGACAAGCCGGAGGAAGGUGGGGAUGACGUCAAGUCCUCAUGGCCCUUAUGACCAGGGCUUCACACGUCAUACAAUGGUCGGUACAGAGGGUAGCCAAGCCGCGAGGUGGAGCCAAUCUCACAAAACCGAUCGUAGUCCGGAUUGCACUCUGCAACUCGAGUGCAUGAAGUCGGAAUCGCUAGUAAUCGCAGGUCAGCAUACUGCGGUGAAUACGUUCCCGGGUCUUGU